CUAGAAUGUUCUCAAGGGGCUGUGCACUUUGGACCAGUCAGUCAUCUCUUCCUCCAAAAGGUUAUGGCCCAGGACCCCUCCCCCCA
rnacentral:lncRNA from 1 species